GUACUGGCUUAGGCAGCACAUAUGGUAAAUCGGAGCAAUACAAAAAAGAUUAGCAUGGCCCUGCUUAAAGAUGACACUCAAAUUUGUGAUGUAUUCCAUAUUUUU
ensembl:snRNA U6 U6 spliceosomal RNA